UUGAGACGCGCAACGCGGUCAAUUGGCGUCCACGAGGCUGUCUAUAAUUAUCAUUCUUCGGUGUGAUACGAUGCGCUCGAGAUGGGCCAUAUGAAGAUGCAGCCAAAAUUUUUUUACCGUUAGAUUUACCAAUCACACGAAUCUCGAUGCAAUCACGCUGGCUUAUACCCACUUCGAUAGGAUGCGCUCGACCUCACUGUAUUGUUCCCUGGAAAUACUUUUAUGCACUUUAGCCCGGUACCUUACAAGCUACUCGCAUUGUUAUUGAAAUCUUAUGAACGGGGCCAUUCUGGGUGGGCCAUUGAUGCGCUGGUAUCUGCGCGGGUAACAAUUUUGCAUUCAUGGGAAUCGCUACAGAUAUGCCUCUCUUGUCCUCGUCUGCCUCUCCUUUCUCCGUUUCCAUUUACCUCUUUAUCUGUUGGUCGGAGAGGGGACCGCGAGAUCCGCUUCUUCUCCAUCGCCACCGCGAGAUCCGCUUCUUCUCCAUCGCCGCCGCCGCCUCUCUCCUCUCUCCUCUCUCACGGGGUUUCGUCGUUGCCUUCUAAUCUGAGAGCAUGCUUCUGAUGAUUCUUGGUGUGAUGAUGGGCUUCUGAAUGAAAUCUCAGAUGCUGACUUAAACAGAGAACAGAAGAGGUGUUAUGAUCAAUUUUAUACAGUAUCCUUGCAAUCUAUAAAUGAUAUGCAUAUCCUUUGUCCAAAACUCUUCAUAGUAAAACUUUUAGGGCUUUAAACUUGAGGAUGUAUCAUAUGGAACCCUUGACAAAAGUUUAUAUGGGUUAUCGAGAUGGUAUAUCUGCAGGAAAGGAAGCUUCUGCCCAAGAGGGCUUCAACAUUGGGUUUAAGCAAUCUGCAAGCAGUGGUUACAAAUGGGGAAUUGUUAGAGGCAUCACAAGGUGAAAAGUGAUAGUAUUUACUGAUCUCUUUCUGCAGAAGAAUUUUGGUAUCUUAUUUUUCCUACAUUAUUUCGUAGUGCAUUUGUAAACCUCCCAGAUCAAUUCAAAGAAAAGUUAGUUAAGAAGCUUGAAGACAGAUGCACGUUUCAAAGUCUUUACAAGCCCGUUCAAGAGAUUUCCACGGACGAUGCUCUGAGAAUGUAUCACUUUCAACUACAACAAGAAAAUAAACAAUCUCAUCAAAGAUCAAAAGCGACAGUAUCAUCGGCAAUCGAAGAUUUUGACUGCAAUAAGUUAGACUUCUUUUUCAAGGAGCUUAUGUUACUUGUAAGUGAGUCUUCUGAAAUCAAAGCAAGUGUUGAUGUUGUAAAAGGAGAGGAAGAAGAAUGACCUUGAUGUUGAAGUACUUGGAGGGAUCGUUCAAAUUCA